UACGUAGGGUGCGAGCGUUGUCCGGAAUUAUUGGGCGUAAAGGGCUCGUAGGCGGUUUGUCACGUCGGGAGUGAAAACUCGGGGCUUAACCCCGAGCCUGCUUCCGAUACGGGCAGACUAGAGGUAUGCAGGGGGAGAACGGAAUUCCUGGUGUAGCGGUGAAAUGCGCAGAUAUCAGGAGGAACACCGGUGGCGAAGGCGGUUCUCUGGGCAUUACCUGACGCUGAGGAGCGAAAGUGUGGGGAGCGAACAGG
rnacentral:rRNA from 1 species